ACAACCGACAAUACCCCGGACGAACCCCGCAUGAUUAAGCAUGCCCAUCUCCUCGCACUUCUCUAUCAUAGUCUCUUGCCUUGUGGCAUAGAAACAUCCGACUCCAUCGAUGAACGCACGGUAUCGGAGAUCAAAGAGCAAGAGGUGCCUGUCGAGUCACCGAUUUCGAAUAAAGACGACGGGUUGAAGUUCAAGGGGAAAACAAUAUAUGUUACCGAAUUCUUCCACAGAGUCUGGAAGAUCCUCUUGGCAACCGGACUCCGUGCAUUGAAACCUCUACUCUUGGUGAUGAAGAUUCCAUGGAAAAUCUUUGCUGUAGUUCCCGGAGUUUCUCAUGUGACAAAACGGCUUGGAUAUUUCAUUCCCAGCGGCAUCUUACCGGAGCAAUUGAACGAUGGAGAUAAAGACAAACAGCCUCUCAUGGAAGAAAUCAGCGUACCGUCAGUGGAGGAACUCAUAAGUAGCGGCGUUAAGCUGGUUCCGACAAACGGCGAUCUCACAUCGAUCAAGUUUGACUAUGGCAGCGCGAAAUUGCACCUACCUACCAUUACACUCGACGUCAACACCGAGGUAAUCUAAAAUUUCAAAUAACUACGUUAAGUGUAACAUUUGCAAUCUCAGUACUCAUAAUUUAGUAAAUAUUUAUUAAGGUCAUACUAAGAAACUUGGUGGCAUACGAGACGUCGGUGGUUUCGGGGCCUUUGGUUUUCACACGCUACACCGAAUUGAUGAACGGAAUCAUCGAUACAGAAGAAGACGUGCGGUUGUUGAGACGCAACGGGAUUUUGAAAAACUACAUGAAGAGCGACAAGGAAGUUGCAGAGGUUUGGAAUGGGAUGAGUAGAUCGGUCCGGUUGACGAAGGUGCCGUUCAUGGAUAAUAUGAUAAAAGACGUCAACAAGUUUUAUAACAGUAACUGGAAAGUGAAGGCAAAGAAAUUGAUGAAAAAUUACAUCGUUCGUUCUUGGCCGUUCUUGACAUUCUUAGCAGCAAUCUUGCUUCUCCUACUCACCGGUUUACAGGCUUUCUGCUCCGUCUAUGAAUGCACUCGCUGGUUGGAUCUUCCCGAUGAUUCUGAAUAAUUUAACGAUCAACUUUAACUUAAAUUCUAUAAUACCUAGACGUUCAUUUGUGUAUUUCCUGAACUAUGAACUUACAAAACUUGCAUGCAUAUAUAUAUCAUAUUCUUAAUAAAGCUAGGCAACAAUGAUCGAGGGUUCCGGUAAUAAUCUUCAGUCAUCUAGAAGAUCGAUCGAUCGAUCGCUGACUCAACAAGGUUUCGUGUC
rnacentral:lncRNA from 1 species